CUUUUGUUAGUCAUAAAACCACUGAUGAAUAAGGGGUGGGCAAGUUCUGGUGUCAGCCGCCGCGGUAAAACCAGCACCUCAAGUGGUCAGGAUGAUUAUUGGGCCUAAAGCAUCCGUAGCCUGCUUUGUUAGUUUUCGGUUAAAUCCAUGUGCUUAACGCAUGGGCUGCCGAAAAUACUGCAAAGCUAGGGAGUGGGAGAGGUAGACGGUACUCAGUAGGAAGGGGUAAAAUCCUUUGAUCUAUUGAUGACCACCUGUGGCGAAGGCGGUCUACCAGAACACGUUCGACGGUGAGGGAUGAAAGCUGGGGGAGCAAACCGGAUUAGAUACCCGGGUAGUCCCAGCUGUAAACGAUGCAGACUCGAUGAUGCAUUGGCAUAUAGCCAGUGCAGUGUCGCAGGGAAGCCGUUAAGUCUGCCGCCUGGGAAGUACGUACGCAAGUAUGAAACUUAAAGGAA
rnacentral:rRNA from 1 species